rnacentral:rRNA from 1 species
AUUGAACGCUGGCGGCAGGCCUAACACAUGCAAGUCGAGCGGAGCGGCGGACGGGUGAGUAAUUCCUAGGAAUCUGCCUGGUAGUGGGGGAUAACGUACGGACACGGGCGCUAAUACCGCAUACUAUCAGAUGAGCCUAGGUCGGAUUAGCUAGUUGGUGGGGUAAAGGCCUACCAAGGCGACGAUCCGUAACUGGUCUGUGAGGAUGAUCAGUCAAAGUGGAACUGAGACACGGUCCAGAGUCCUACGGGAGGCAGCGGGGGGGAAUAUUGGACAAUGGGAGAAUGCCUGAUCCAGCCAUGCGGCGUGGGUGAAGAGGGUCUUCGGAUUUUAAAGCACUUUAAGUUGUUAGGCGUUACCAGCAGAAUAAGCACCGGCUAACUUCGUGCCAGCAGCCGCGGUAAUUC